GACGAACGCUGGCGGCGUGCUUAACACAUGCAAGUCGAACGCUGAAGCUUGGUGCUUGCACUGGGUGGAUGAGUGGCGAACGGGUGAGUAAUACGUGAGUAACCUGCCCUUGACUCUGGGAUAAGCCUGGGAAACUGGGUCCAAUACUGGAUACGACAUGUCACCGCAUGGUGGUGUGUGGAAAGGGUUUUACUGGUUUUGGAUGGGCUCACGGCCUAUCAGCUUGUUGGUGGGGUAAUGGCUUACCAAGGCGACGACGGGUAGCCGGCCUGAGAGGGUGACCGGCCACACUGGGACUGAGACACGGCCCAGACUCCUACGGGAGGCAGCAGUGGGGAAUAUUGCACAAUGGGCGGAAGCCUGAUGCAGCGACGCCGCGUGAGGGAUGACGGCCUUCGGGUUGUAAACCUCUUUCAGCACGGAAGAAGCGAAAGUGACGGUACGUGCAGAAGAAGCGCCGGCUAACUACGUG
rnacentral:rRNA from 1 species